rnacentral:rRNA from 1 species
UACGUAGGGUGCGAGCGUUAAUCGGAAUUACUGGGCGUAAAGAGUGCGUAGGCGGUUCUUUUGUGUCCGCUGUGAAAGCCCCGGGCUUAACCUGGGAAUGGCAUUUGGGACUGCAAGGCUUGAGUGCGGCAGAGGAGACUGGAAUUCCCGGUGUAGCGGUGAAAUGUGUAGAGAUCGGGAGGAACACCGGUGGCGAAGGCGGGUCUCUGGGCAUUCCCUGACGCUGAGGCGCGAAAGCGUGGGGAGCAAACGGG